rnacentral:lncRNA from 1 species
UUUUAUCUAAAAGGGCAUUUAUGUACUUUAACAAUCUAUUUUUAUUUUAGGAAAUUAUCUUCAAUAACUAACUAUACAUAAAUUUUGGAAUUUUUUGUUUUCGAUUUCUGAUCUCACGUAAUAUCAAUCAUUCCUUCGUUUUCUUGCUGGAAUCUAUCAGCAUGUUCUUGGUACUGUGUUUUAACAGUUUAUUCAUACAGUUGUGUUUUAACAGCAAGCAGAUUCAUACAGUUGUGUUUUAG